UACGGGGGGGGCAAGCGUUGUUCGGAAUUACUGGGCGUAAAGGGCUCGUAGGCGGCCAACUAAGUCGGACGUGAAAUCCCUCGGCUUAACCGGGGAACUGCGUCCGAUACUGGAUGGCUUGAGAUUGGGAGAGGGAUGCGGAAUUCCUGGUGUAGCGGUGAAAUGCGCAGAUAUCAGGAGGAACACCGGUGGCGAAGGCGGUUCUCUGGGCAUUACCUGACGCUGGAGGAGCGAAAGCGUGGGGAGCAAACAGG
rnacentral:rRNA from 1 species